GACGAACCGUGCGAACGUUGUUCGGAAUCACUGGGCUUAAAGGGCGCGUAGGCGGCUUGCCAAGUCAGGGGUGAAAUCUUUCGGCUCAACCGGAAAACUGCCCCUGAUACUGGCGGGCUGGAGGACGGUAGAGGGGGGUGGAAUUCCCGGUGUAGUGGUGAAAUGCGUAGAGAUCGGGAGGAACACCAGUGGCGAAGGCGGCCCCCUGGGCCGUUCCUGACGCUGAGACGCGAAGGCGCGGGGAGCGAACGGG
rnacentral:rRNA from 1 species